GAAGGAAUUCUGCCUCGCAGGGCGAUUUAUAACAGAGCCCCCUUUACAUCUGAAUACCAUGAAUGACUCAUUGCGCGCACAAGUUAACAAUAUGGACAAUGUGCGAUCCCCUUUCCUCAUUGACAGGAUCCUGUCCGACGGAAAGAAUGGAGCCUCUCGGAGCGAAGAAAAUCGAGGAACCGCCUUAAAGACCAUUCAGAAAUCACCAACCAAACUUCGAGAAAGGAUUGCUAACAGGUCUGUUGCCCAUUGAGUGCUCUGUAAUUGUUUCUCAGAGUUGACGGGGCUGGUCCUUAUACCUUCUCCAGUGAGAGCUGCCAGGCUUGUUGAAGUAGGCCCACUGCACCCUGUGGAGCAUAGGACCUCAGCGACUGUAUUCCAGCAAACUGGACUGUGAGCUACCUCAUUCCAGGAAAAUAAUCUCCAGCACUUCCCUGAUGGCAGCAGGCAUGGGUGGUUUGCUGUUUCAAGCUCGAUCCAGUUGUGUUCAAACAUGGUUCUGAUCCUGUUGCACUCUAGCUGUAAAUGUUUUUAAUAUGCACUCAAUAAAGUGGUGUUUGCUGUA